GAUGAACGCUAGCUACAGGCUUAACACAUGCAAGUCGAGGGGAACGAUAUUGGAAGCUUGCUUCCGAUAGGCGUCGACCGGCGCACGGGUGAGUAACGCGUAUCCAACCUGCCCGUCACUUGGGAAUAACCUUGCGAAAGUAAGACUAAUGCCCAAUGACAUUUAUAGAAGGCAUCUGAAAUGAAUUAAAGAUUUAUCGGUGAUGGAUGGGGAUGCGUCUGAUUAGCUUGUUGGCGGGGUAACGGCCCACCAAGGCAACGAUCAGUAGGGGUUCUGAGAGGAAGGUCCCCCACAUUGGAACUGAGACACGGUCCAAACUCCUACGGGAGGCAGCAGUGAGGAAUAUUGGUCAAUGGGCGAGAGCCUGAACCAGCCAAGUAGCGUGCAGGAUGACGGCCCUAUGGGUUGUAAACUGCUUUUAUAAGGGAAUAAAGUGGGUCUCGUGAGACUUUUUGCAUGUACCUUAUGAAUAAGGACCGGCUAAUUCCGUG
rnacentral:rRNA from 1 species